rnacentral:lncRNA from 1 species
AGUGUUACCAUAAAGCACCAAUGCUGCAGCAAGCAAAGGCUCUAGCAGCUCAGCCAGCUGCUUGUGGCUGGAAAGCCAGGCAGGAUGUUUGUGACUGUUGCCAUGGGAACAAAGGGGCAGUCCAUUCUGUACUGAGCACCGGAUGUUAGCUCAGUGUGUGUGUGUCAUAUGACCCGUACUGGAUGUACUUGGGAGGAGUUUCUUCUUGCUGUUGUUGAGUGCAGACAUGAUUCUCUGUACUGAUGUAAGAGGCAGAAAUAAAUGAUGUAAAUAGUUUUCUGUCUGCUUCUUUCCCUCCCUGGGGACACCAAAGGGGAGAGAGGAAGAACGGUGUGUUCCUCUCAUACAUCUGAGAAGAAUCGCCGGACCUCGCCUGCUUAUCAGCAGAGUGGAGACGCGGGGAGGUCGACAGGAAUAUCUGCCGGUGCCUACGCUGUGGCACAUUCCUCUGACCCAGGCAGAAUUCCAACAGUGGUAGCAGUCGAUGGUUCCGAUCCAUCGGACCUCUGCAUGAGAGGCUGGUGGAUUGUCCUCCUCUGCUCCAAGGAGGAAGAGAAAAGCGUCUGAAAGAAGCCAGAGGCUCCACAGACAGCUGGUGGAAAGAAGAGGUGUUUUUCCAGAGCAACAAAGUUCAAGGUAUGCUGCAUUUCGGGCUAAAAGUGUGAACGCAGGAAGAUUAAUUCCCUGGUUCACGGAGCUGCGUUUCAAAGAAAACAAGAGCUCCGGAGGAAGAGGCCUGCAGCUUGAAGGCUGAAGCCUGCAUUCCACAAAUUUUUGUGGUAGAUAAGGAGUCCCAUUGAAAUGCAUUGUUGCUAGGCAACGGUCCUGGAAAGUUACUGGCAAAGGGGCUGGACUCUGAGUGUGAGCCUGGGAAAGCGAAACAAAAUCAAAGAAUGUUUCGGCUACAAGGUUUACGAGCUCUUGGAAGGGACUUUUCAAUAGCAGCCUGAGUUUAGCUGCCAGGUGCAAAAAGCACAAACAACUUGCAGUUUGCCUGCGUGAGAAAGAAAAAACUGCUGUUGGAUUUUGCAGCUUGUUUGGAGGUGAGAGAGGCUUGGCUUCAAGAUGGAUGCCAAGAAAGGGGGAGGUUUGCCUUGCCCACCUCCCUUAACCAAUGACAAUUAUUCAUCUUGGUCUGUAAAGAUGAAGGCCCUGCUGCAGAAUCAGAGGCUUUUUGAUGUAAUUGAAAACCCCAUCCCUGCAGCACCAACCAGAGGUUGGGAGUCACAGAAUGUAAGGGCCAGGACUGCUAUAAUUCUGUGUGUCUCAGAUGAUCAGUUGGUGCAUGUUCAGCAUUUAGAAAAUGCGAAAGAGGUAUGGGACACGCUGCGUACAACGCAUCAGAGAGAUGCUGGUUCUUCAGCGUUGCUGUAUUUUGAGAAAUUGACCAAUCUGAGACUUGCGCCUGAUGGAGAUGUUCAAGCGCACCUGACAGAAAUGAAGUUUCUGCGUCAACAGAUGGUGGAACGCAAUUUCCGUCUUCAGGAGGAAGUGUUUUGCUUCAUGAUGAUAAACAGCCUUAGCCGCACCUACAAGGUUGUUGCCAGUCAGCUUGGUUCCCUACCGGCCGCGCAGCUGACCGCGGAGAGAGUUUGUGCUGUGGUCCUGAAUGAACACGACAGACUUGCUGCACUGGAAGAAAAAGACAGGGGGAGGGAAGAACAGAGUUCUAAUUCCCCACUGCUGAUGCUACUGGAGAGCAUGGUGUAGCAUUGAGUGCUGUCCGAUGCUACAAUUGUGGACAGACUGGGCAUCUACAGCGAAACUGUAAGAAGCCGCGCCAGUCAAGAGGAGCAAAGAGCAGCUCUACGAAGCCUCAGGCGUCAGGCAAAAGCCGUUCCAAGUGCCAGGUGAAACCUGCAAAGGCUAUGAUGGCGAAAGGAACCACGCCAGAUGUUGGGAACUCGUUCAUAAUUGACACGGGCGCAACGGUUCACAUGUGCCCGCACAGAGGACUAUUUUCGACGUUGAAGAAGCAAAGCUUCACUGUGAAACAGGCCAACGGUCAGGAGUUGGAAGCGACUGGAAUUGGGACUGUGUAUCUUGAGAGUCUGAACUUGACUAUAAGUGAUGUUUACCUGGUUCCAGAACUGAGAUUUAAUCUGCUGAGCGUGUCGCAGAUUGCAAAGAAAGGACUGAAACUGUCCUAUGAUGCUAAAAGCUGCAAGAUCUACAAAGAUGGAGAACUGUUUCUUACUGCCAAAGAGAAAGAUGGACUGUAUUUGUUGACUUUUGAUCAAAGUGAUUACAUGAAAUGUAAUUCUUCUGUUUCUAACGAAAUCUCUCUUGCAGGAGUGACCAGUGUGAGCACCAGGAAGGUGACUAAGACCAAGAAGGUCGACAGAGCAUUUCAGCGGGUGUAUGCUGAUGUGAUUGGUCCUCUAGAACCAUCUAGAGGCGGUGCAAAAUAUUACCUUUUGUGUGUGGAUUGUUUCACUAAUUAUUCUUGGGUUUAUAUGAUGGAGAAACCGCAAGAAACUUUAGAAAAGUUUCAGGAGUUUUGUGACAAGGUUAAAAGUAUGCAUGAUGCUAACAUUGAUUGUCUUUUCACAGAUGAGAAGCAAAUUUUUCUGUUGCAGAAGUUUCAGAAGUUCCUGGAUGGAAAAGGGAUAGACCACAAAGUGGCUGUUUCGCAAGAAGCGUGGAACAGGGGGGUCUGUGUAAGAGUGAACAAAGAAUUGCAAAAGGGGAUGAAUGCGCAAUUGCUGAGUUCACAUUUGCCACAUGAAUAUUGGGCUGAGUCGCUAGCGUCCUAUCUUCAUGUGUGGUUGAGAAAGGUCUCAACAGAGUUGGGAUGUUCUCCUUUUGAGAAGCUGUUCAAUAGAAAACCUUCUGUUGCCUAUUUUAAGGUUUUCGGGUCUCAUGUGAGAACAGAAGCUCCAGGUGGAGUAAAGAAUGCCAGAGGCAUUUUCGUAGGUUAUGAAAAAGGUCUCUACAGAGUAAUUUUGUCUGAAUCUGGUCAGGUGAUUCUCACAAAGUUCCUAGAGAGUGCUCCAAAGCAAGAGCGGAUAGUACAGACAUUUCCCACAGGAAACGAUUCUGAUGAUGAUGAUGAUGAGUUUGAUCUUAUUGAGUUCAGUAGUACUGAUGAUGACAGUGAGAGCUCAGAGAGUUCAGUUGUCACAGUCAUUGAGAGGAAAUCUCACACAAUGGAUAGACCUUCACAGGUGAAGGAAGAACCACUGAUUGCUACUGGUUCUCAACAGAGUCCAAAGGUUGAACCAGUGAGCACAGAGGAUCAGAACCUCAUACGUAGGUCUGAGAGAGCAACGAAGGGUGUACCACCCAAGAGGUAUUCAAAGGAGUUUGCUAACCUUGCAUAUGUUGCUAUUGUAAACGACCAAGGACAGCUUGAAGCUGUGUCUGAGUCAGAGACAAAGGCACAACAGAGAGGUGUUAACCAAGGUAAUGCGAAGUCACACAACCAGAGAGGUACAUUGGUUAAACCAGUGGCGGGUAGUUCCAAGGGUGGAACUGAAACAACAGGGGAAUGUUAUAAAUAUAACAACUGUUUGUUUUCUUCUCUGGAUGACGCUUUGCUCGCAGCACACAUUGAUACUUUAGGGGGAGUAUGUUACCAUAAAGCACCAAUGCUGCAGCAAGCAAAGGCUCUAGCAGCUCAGCCAGCUGCUUGUGGCUGGAAAGCCAGGCAGGAUGUUUGUGACUGUUGCCAUGGGAACAAAGGGGCAGUCCAUUCUGUACUGAGCACCGGAUGUUAGCUCAGUGUGUGUGUGUCAUAUGACCCGUACUGGAUGUACUUGGGAGGAGUUUCUUCUUGCUGUUGUUGAGUGCAGACAUGAUUCUCUGUACUGAUGUAAGAGGCAGAAAUAAAUGAUGUAAAUAGUUUUCUGUCUGCUUCUUUCCCUCCCUGGGGACACCAAAGGGGAGAGAGGAAGAACGGUGUGUUCCUCUCAUACAUCUGAGAAGAAUCGCCGGACCUCGCCUGCUUAUCAGCAGAGUGGAGACGCGGGGAGGUCGACAGGAAUAUCUGCCGGUGCCUACGCUGUGGCACAUUCCUCUGACCCAGGCAGAAUUCCAACACCCAGUGCCCUAAAGGAACUCAGGCUUUGCGGCUCCCAAUUUGUAAAUACAUUAGUGGGAAGCACCGCUUUCCCAAAGGCAAAUUCCUUGCUCCCUCAAAGCAAUGCAGUUCCACUAUCAUUUUUUAAACAGACUCAUUCCUCUAGCAGUGUGUAUUCUGCGAGAUCCUCCGCUCUCACGCCUUGGAAGUGAGUGACAGCAUUUCAAAAGCCUGGUAGAGUGGGGUGUGUGUGUGUGGAAUUGGCUUCUUUGUGGUACAUAACGCUGCUUAGGCGAAAGCCCCAUAUGUUGCUGAGUUAUCUAUUCUCAAUCCCAUGGCAUUAUCUCUUGUGAUCCUGUCACUAGCUCCCCAGACACCCAAGGUUAAAUAAAAUAUCAUUUCCUUCUGAUUUAGCUUUUGUCUUUUGCAUUUUAAAAAAGCUUUAAAGGUCCCCAUGGAUUCAACCUUUCAGGCCAGAGCAGUACAUGGGAAACCCCUUCCCAGGCAUUUCACUCUAGAUAAUGUCAUGCUUGAUUCAUGAGAUUAUUCAAAGCACUGCUUUCCGUUGUUGUUGCUGCUGCUGCUGCUUGGAGCUUUGAUGGUUCUUGGCUUGGGUCCUUUCAGCUUCUUCCCAACGCCACCUCUUAUUGUCACAGUCACAAACCUGCUCCUUGGAGAGCAGAAAUAAAGGCCAUGAUCAAAUGAGACGAGAAAUAUCAGCCAGCUCUUGUAAUGAUCCUGGGGGCGGGGAUUAAGGGGGAGAAGCUGUGAGAGCUUUUAAGGCUCUACAUGACAGGUGUCAUCUAGAGAAUGAGAAAGCAAAGGGGCUUGUGGAAUUCUCUUGUAAAGAACAGGACCACACUGGAUAAUAUAGCACGGGAGUGAGAGGCCUGUGGCUCUCUGGAUGUUGCUGGAUUCCAACUCUCAUCUCUCAACUUUUCCACUUUUGAUUUUAAAACAUAUGUCGCGGUGCACAUUAUCACAGAUCGAUGUUGUAUAUUUGUUUAUGGACACAGCACAGCCCAAGUAUUUCAGAUAUUUAAAUUUUCAAAUUUCAGUACACACUUGCAUGGUUGUCAGAAACCACUUCCUAAUCCAAACAGAGUUUUGCCAGAUAAAAUAGACACUCCACGGUCAGAAGGAACAUGCCUCUUAAUACCAUUUGCUGGGAAUCCCAAGUCGCAGGCCUCCCAUUGGCAUUCAUUGGCCACUGUGAGAACACAAUGUUAGACUAGAAGGGCCUUUGGCCUGAUUCUUGUGUCUAACAUGAGCAGGAGUCUUCUGUUAGCUAAGAUUCAACAUUCACAAUGGCAACCAACACACACGGUGAAAUAAUAUAUACAAUUGCCAAUGCUGGCGUCAGUUUCGGUUUGGGGGGGCUUCCGGUUUGGGUCGCGGACAGCGAGGAAGCGCAGAAAGCCCUUGUCAGGGUUUUCUGAGAAACACGGGGGCUUCGGGGAGAUGCAAAGGCACUGCUGGCGUCAGUUUUCUGUGGGAGCCCUUGAGCAAGAUGGGCCUCCCUCUAGGAGUGUGCUCACCUCCAUAUUGCCAUUGUCACUGCUCUUGUUCACUCGCCUUCUGCCUCUUGUUGCUGCUGGCAUGCUUGGAGAAGACAGGUGAACAGACAGAGGCAGCAAGGAGUCUCUCAUGGCAAAAUAUCACCCUGGACACCAGCAUUGACUAACAUCAAGUAGAUAAACGUCCCACAGAGCUAGAGUGGCUGAGCUAUGAAGCAGGAAGUUCUGCUUCUGCCAUCAUCUCAUGAGGUAGCCUUAAGCAAAUUUUAACCUCUUGGCCUCCUAUUUACAGUAGAAGUAACAAUCCUGACUGCCUUACAGAGUUGCCAUAAGGUUUACUGGGAAAAUGUAAGCAAAGCACACUAAACACUCAGAAGAGCUACUUAAAUGCUACAUAUCAUUAUUAUUGUCCUGUAUUUAUCCAACACCUACGAUAAGAGAGGGCAGCGCUAAUGGGAAUUUAUUGUUGACAAUUUCAUACCUGGGGAGGCCCACAUUAGUGAAUUGGUGAUGUUGGAUGUUUUGAAUUGUUUUUAGGAGGUUGUUUUUAAAAGUUUGAAUUGUAAUAUAUUAUUGACAUAUUUGUCACCCUGUGUUCUUUCAGGAGGAAGGCUGGGUUGAAAAUUUAUUGAAUGAAUGUUGCUACCCAGUUUUAGUUUUGUCCUUUUUUACCUAUUUCCCUGUGUAAAUGAAACUAUCUUGCAACCAUUCUUGGGGUGGAGCAACACAUUUCAAUGGAAGA